rnacentral:lncRNA from 1 species
UCAACUUUCCUGUACAGUAAUAGAGUUCUAGAAUCUACAAAUUAUUUAUCUUUCAAAUCCAAUCAAUCCUACUACUAUCCGAUCAUUCUCUUUUAGACCAUAACUAAGUUACAAGAACCUAUAGUGAAAACGGGAUUAAAUAUUGGGUGAUAUAACUACAACAUAAAGUGUUGUAAUAUGCAAUUUAAUGUCCACAUAUUUCCUCUCUGUGUAGCUCUUGUGAGAAAGUUAACUUGGUACACAUAGUAUGCUGUCUUUUCUUUUUAUACAAAGAUGCAAAUACAUGAUUAGUGAAGAGAGGGCUACUCUCAUGUACAGUUUUGCUGCUAUGAACAGUUAAGCUAGAAAAAAAAGGAGUAAAUGAACUCUGAUAUAUUUAUACAAACACAUCAUCAUAUGAAACUACUUUUAACCUCGUAAACUUCCUUGGAAGUUUUCAAAAGUAAAAUAGCGAGCCAUGUACUUUAACUUUAAGCUCUAAUUAGCCUUGUAACCCAUAGGAGAACUUUCUUCUCCAAAACAGUGGAAUAUUACAAUAGCUUCCUCAAAAUAUUGCAGCUUCCUCUUAUUGUUUUUUACCUGUGUGAAUGUGCCUCGGCCCGGGAAGGGUAGGGAGAGUGGCCGAGUGGUUAAAAGCGGCAUACUGUAAAUCUGUUGAAGUGUGGUUAAAUUUCAAGGAGAAGAAAACAUCAAUACACAAGCGUCCUAUUAGAUUCCUUAAAAUCACUUUUUUGUCCCACUGUCCCAAGCUUCCAACAAAAAGCAUAGCUCAAUAUUUGCCUCAACUCAAUAUAUACUGCAUAAAAACAUAUUAAAGAUAAUGAAGAACAAUAGACAUUUAACACAAUUAGUUUAAAUUUAACUUGAAUUCUAUAAGAAUCGAUCAUUAUAUAUUUAAAUGCCAAACACCCAAAAAUACCUAAACACAUGAUAAUCCAGCAAACAAAAAUUGCAACAGACAAUAAGUCCUCAUGCAAGUUAUUUUUUCUCUUGUUUAAAAUUUUGAAUACAAAGAUACAUCAUACACUAACCAAACAUGAAAGAAAAUGACAAGUUUAAACUAAGAAAGAGGAUAUUUACCUCAAGGAUUGGGACAAUGAAGAUAAAGAAUAGGAUUUUUAUCUAUGGAGGGACAAGGAAGAAAAGGAAGGAGAUGAUAAGGGGCAUGCAAUAUGUAAGAAAAGAUGAGACUUACUGUGGCGUGGAGGAAAUAAGAGGAAGAGAAAGCGACGUUUGCUUAAGAAUAAGGGGAAAAGUAAGAGGUGUGACUUAUAAAGGAUUAAAAAGAGGAGUGUCUUUUGAAGGAAGAGAAAGAGCAUGUAGAUAAUGGCGAAAAGGCAAGAUUUGAGAAAAUUGAACAACAGAUUUCCUAAUUUACAGUAUUGAUGGGAAGAAAAGUAUUUUUCUGAUCAUUAGACUUUUGCUGCUAAGAAUAAAUAUGUCGCUCAUCAAGCUGAACACAAAAGAGUACAUCAGGACAAAAGUAAUAAUACUGAUAUAGCAAGAAUCUAUAUAUAAUCAAAUGAAAAUAAGAACGCAUUAUAAUUUUGAUGGGAAAAGAAUCUAUUU